AUACGUAGGGGGCGAGCGUUGUCCGGAAUGAUUGGGCGUAAAGGGCGCGUAGGCGGCCUGGUAAGUCUGAAGUGAAAGUCCCGCUUUCAAGGUGGGAAUUGCUUUGGAUACUGCUGGGCUUGAGUGCAGGAGAGGAAAGCGGAAUUCCCGGUGUAGCGGUGAAAUGCGUAGAGAUCGGGAGGAACACCAGUGGCGAAGGCGGCUUUCUGGACUGUAACUGACGCUGAGGCGCGAAAGCGUGGGGAGCAAACAGGAUUAGAUACCCUGGUAGUCCACGCUGUAAACGAUGAAUGCUAGGUGUAGGAGGUAUCGACCCCUUCCGUGCCGGAGUAAACACAAUAAGCAUUCCGCCUGGGGAGUACGGCCGCAAGGUUGAAACUCAAAUGAAUUGACGGGG
rnacentral:rRNA from 1 species